rnacentral:rRNA from 1 species
GACGGAAGGUGCAAGCGUUGCUCGGAAUCACUGGGCGUAAAGGGUGCGUAGGCGGCUUGGUAAGUUGGGUGUGAAAGCCCCGGGCUCAGCCCGGGAAGGGCACUCGAAACUGCCGAGCUGGAGUGCCGGAGGGGAGAGUGGAAUUCCUGGUGUAGCGGUGGAAUGCGCAGAUAUCAGGAGGAACACCAAUGGCGAAGGCAGCUCGCUGGGACGGUAGCUGACGCUGAGGCGCGAAAGCGUGGGGAGCAAACAGG